rnacentral:rRNA from 1 species
CGUGGGUAACCUACCCAUCAGAGGGGGAUAACACUUGGAAACAGGUGCUAAUACCGCAUAACAGUUUAUGCCGCAUGGCAUAAGAGUGAAAGGCGCUUUCGGGUGUCGCUGAUGGAUGGACCCGCGGUGCAUUAGCUAGUUGGUGAGGUAACGGCUCACCAAGGCCACGACGCAUAGCCGACCUGAGAGGGUGAUCGGCCACACUGGGACUGAGACACGGUCCAG